GGGGAGGAGGAAAAUGGCGAUAGUCAAACAGGCGUUUUGUUCUUGAUUUUGUUUUAGUUCAUAAAAAAUAACUUAACAUCAUUACGGGGAUGGAAAAUCAACAUAGAAAUAGAGGAAAUGACCGCACUAUGACUUCCUGCACGAACACAAACCAGCAUGAAUUCUGUCAUCCUGGUAAUAUUGAUGCAGCUGUGACUUAUCUCUCUCAGGAGCUGACGCUGGUCGGCCUGCCGGCGGUUGUGGCGCCCGGGGGCCAGGGCCGGCUCGACUCAGUGGCGCUGGUAAACGUGUGUUGGCGGCUGCUCCGCUCAUCACGGGAUGGUCUCAGCGAGCGACAGGAGCUGCAGCUGCGGCUAAACCGCGCCGACACUGACCGCCAGCAGCUGGAGUCGAGUCUGGCGCGGUGCCGGGACCAGUGCAGUGCGCUGGAGUCACGCUCUGCACAGCAGCAGGAGCAGCAGCGGCAGCUGAGCGCCCAGAUCGGUACCGGACAAACACGCCUGACUGAGGCCAAGGAUGAGGUGCGUCGACUGCAGUCGCUCCUGCAACAGCGCACCACCCACUACCAGCACGAACUGAAGAAACAGGAGCGACAGGCUGAGCGACUUAAAGACAUGACGCAUCGUCUUCUGGAUCGGGAGCGUCGCGGCGGGGGUCAGGAGCGUUCCGGUCUGGUCAUCUCUGGUCUGCUCAGCCGCACGGACGGCACCCGGGCGCGAUGGCGAACACCGGCCGCCGCCGACCGGGCCCGUGAGGAGGCGUACGAACGCGUGCUGGCCGGCUGCGAGGCACGACACCUGCGGAUGGUGAAGGAGACGCAGCGACUGCGCUCUCUGCUGGGCUCCGUGCUGCGCGCGCUGGUCGCCGCCUCCCAGCAGGUGGCAUGUGAGGACGGCUGCACCCUGUGCGGGGACCCGCACGUGCUGAACGCUCUGGAGCUCGGCCUGCCGUACGACCCGCUGAGUGAGACCGUCGACAGUCUGGUGUCCUGUCAGCUGAGCAAGCUGACCCGGCUCUCAGAGGCGCCAGAGUCGUCUGGGGUGACGGUCGGCGCCGACUCACCGCGGCGGGACGCUCAGGAGCUGCGCCAGCGCCUGGAGCAGGCAGAGAGGAUGGUGCAGGAGCAGCGGCUCCUGAUCGAGACCAGCACAGGCGGGGACACCUGCGACGACUCGUUCCAGCGGAACGCCUUCUUCGUGGAGGAGCGCGACGAGCUGGCGAUGCGCGAGCAGAUGCUGUCCGACCAGCGGCAGGCGCUGGCCCGGGAGCGCGAUAUGUACACAGAGGCCGUGCUGCGGCUGGGGCGAGAGAGAAUGGCGUUCGAGGCCGAGCGCGCCGAGCUGAAGAAGCGCCAGUUCCUGGCCAGCUCGCCGCUGCUGUCGCGUCGGCCGGCGUCGGCGCGCGCCUCGCCCCUACCCGCCACCAAGGUGGAGCCGCCGUCACCGACUCGCCGGCCGAGCUCGGGCCGCGACCACCUGCUGCUCACGGCGCCGGCACUGCGGGCCAGCGCCGAGCAGCUGCUCUCUCCCGGUGACGUCACCAGGCCGCGUCUGACGUCACCGGUGGGCCGCGGCGCCGGCGGCCAGCGCAGGAGUCCCUCGACGUCCCAGCGGAGCACCCCCGUCCAGCGCUCCCCCGCCAGCUCGGAGCCGCGUCUCUCGGGGCCGCGCCUAUCUGAGCUCGGACUGCCGUCCAGCCUGUACAAACCAGAGCCGGGAGCGACGGCCGCCGAGCCAACCGACAGGAUGGUCGACGACGACCACUGCGAGCCAUAGUGAGGACAGAUCUGCCUGGCUAGCUCCGUUUGAAUGCCGCCCGUGUGUAACGGCUAACUGCGUGGUUCGAAUGCUCCACCCGUGCCGGCUGCGGCGCAGAGUGGUUGAUUGCCGAGGCAUUUGAUUCCGGUGCUCAUUCUGGGUUCCGGUGACCGAGGUGUCCGCGCCGGUCGGCAGGUCGGCGCUGAUACUGAGUGACAAAGCUGACAGUGAGCUGACGCGGUCCGGGCGUGGGCAGUCCCCAGCGGAGAUCAGCGGGACGCCGCGCCGCCGACAGGUGACGGCGGACGGCCGCACGGGAUCGGAGUCUCAUCUCCCGACCGCGGGAGACGUGAACGGGGGCUGAGCGAGCUGGUAUCAGCACAGUGCCCGGGCGGCCUGCCGACCAUGACGCCGAGCGAACCCAGCCGUCUCCUACCGAACUCAGCCCGUCUGCUGCCGAACCCAGCCCGUCUUCUACCGAACUCAGCCCGUCUGCUGCCGAACUCAGCCCGUCUUCUACCGAUCUCCACCGAUCUCUACCACAUCUACCGAUCUCAGCCCGUCUACUGCCGAACUCAGCCCGUCUACUGCCGAACUCAGCCCGUCUACUGCCGAACCCAGCCCGUCUCCUACCGAUCUCAGCCCGUCUCCAAUGGAUCUCAGCCCAUCUACCGAUCUCCACUGAUCUCUACCGCAUCUAUCGAUCUCUACCGAUUGCUGAUGAUCUCUACUGAUGUCAACCGACUCCGAAUGGUUUAUCGAUUUCCUUUAGCCGACCCCGAGCGAUCUCAAGUAGCACGCCAUUCCGCAAACCGUCCAAACUCUGGAGUGAUUAGCAUCACCUGUGGUGCAUCACUCCUUGCUUUUGUGAUCGAUUUAUCGAGUCUCAUGUGCACCAAAAGAGAAUUUAUUUUUGUGAAGAAUGUUCAGUUGUUAAUGCAAGAUUAUCAACGAUAAUCACAAAACGGGUCCUGUAUGUUCCAGUGUCAUUAUGAAGAGUUGUACACUCAAGGUGGCAUGUAACCUGUUUUAAAUUGUCUUGUUGAUAAAUAAAGUGCUUAUUAUGUU
rnacentral:misc_RNA from 1 species